UACGAAGGGGGCUAGCGUUGUUCGGAAUUACUGGGCGUAAAGCGCACGUAGGCGGACAUUUAAGUCAGGGGUGAAAUCCUGGAGCUCAACUCCAGAACUGCCUUUGAUACUGAAGAUCUUGAGUUCGGGAGAGGUGAGUGGAACUGCGAGUGUAGAGGUGAAAUUCGUAGAUAUUCGCAAGAACACCAGUGGCGAAGGCGGCUCACUGGCCCGGUACUGACGCUGACGGUGCGAAAGCGUGGGGAGCGAACAGG
rnacentral:rRNA from 1 species